UACGGGGGGGGCAAGCGUUGUUCGGAAUUACUGGGCGUAAAGGGCUCGUAGGCGGCCAACUAAGUCAGACGUGAAAUCCCUCGGCUUAACCGGGGAACGGCGUCUGAUACUGGAUGGCUUGAGUUCGGGAGAGGGAUGCGGAAUUCCAGGUGUAGCGGUGAAAUGCGUAGAUAUCUGGAGGAACACCGGUGGCGAGGGCGGCAUCCUGGACCGAGACUGACGCUGAGGAGCGAAAGCCAGGGGAGCAAACGGG
rnacentral:rRNA from 1 species